rnacentral:lncRNA from 1 species
UUCACAGGCUGACCACCUGUGACACCAGUGUGCUGUAUCCCCACAUCAGCAGUGCUCAGGCUGUGCCGCUUCUGCCUCCAGCAGCCUCUGUUGCGUGCUUGUGCUUGUUGCUCCUUCUUGAUCGAGGCAGUGCUGAGAUAAUGGUUGAUGCUGUUCAACCAGACUUCCUGAGGGCUCUGGCGCACCAGACUGUUGAAUGGAUGCCACAUCGUUUAUCACAGAAGUGUUGGGUCCUUGGAAGAAUGAUAGAAGAUGGUAUAGAUGCAGCUUUGCAUCUAUUAUAACUGUUCUAGAAGUCCUGCUGUACAAUGAAGGAAUUCAGUGCACUCAAAUUCCCCGCUCUCUUAGCUCAACAAUACAGGUCAGUUUUCCCCUAAAUUUCUUCGUAUUGGCAAUCAGAAGUUAAAUAUACAAGAAUCAUUCUGUCCUUAUUCAUGUUGGC